rnacentral:rRNA from 1 species
UUGGUGGAUGCCUUGGCAUGCACAGGCGAUGAAGGACGUGAUACGCUGCGAAAAGCCGUGGGGAGCUGCGAAUGAGCUUUGAUCCAUGGAUCUCCGAAUGGGGCAACCCACCUUAAAUGCUUGGGAAAUCGAGCGUGCCGCAGGCACGCGAAGCAGUAGGAAUUAGGCAAUAGGCAGUGGUGGAAACACUAUUGGCUACUGCCUAUUGGCUAUUGCCUGACGCGUCUGCGACGCGCUCGGUUUCCAAGCAUUGUGAUAAGGUAUCUACACCUGAAUACAUAGGGUGUAAGAAGCGAACGCAGGGAACUGAAACAUCUAAGUACCUGCAGGAAAGGACAUCAACCGAGACUCCGCAAGUAGUGGCGAGC